rnacentral:rRNA from 1 species
CAGUCGCCACGGUAAUACGGAGGGGGCUAGCGUUGUUCGGAAUUACUGGGCGUAAAGCGCACGUAGGCGGCUUGGUAAGUUAGAGGUGAAAGCCCGGAGCUCAACUCCGGAAUUGCCUUUAAGACUGCCGAGCUAGUAGGUGAGAGAGGUAAGUGGAAUUCCGAGUGUAGAGGUGAAAUUCGUAGAUAUUCGGAAGAACACCAGUGGCGAAGGCGGCUCACUGGACGACUGUUGACGCUGAGGUGCGAAAGCGUGGGGAGCAAACAGGAUUAGAUACCCCAGUAGUCCCUGUCUCUUAUAC